ACGACUGUGGAUCAGCACACGCUGUUGCCUCACAUAACUGAACAGGUCCUGAAUUUGGAGUUUCCUGCUUUCCCUAAACCCAGAUGAUCAGCUGGAAGGCAGCUUCCCUGCCCUGGAUUUUUUGAUUUAAAUCAGCAAAAAAAGGACAUCCAGAACUUCUCCCCUGAUGUCUCGGUUUUACUGAAAACGUCUCUCUGCACAUUAACCAGGCUGCCUCCAUUAAAGCACAAUCAGGUUGAAAUCUGUGAGACUUCCAGAAGAGGAAAUGACUCCAAUGGUUACACUUGCUGCAUGUGGAGGAGCUGUAGAGCAAACCCAAAUUGUACCAAAUCAGCAGGCACUCUAAUGCUGUUACAUCUGCUCUUGUUUUCUUUUUUUCAGGACAAGAGUUAUAAUUUAUGCAAAAGGAGAGCAAUCAGAAGUCCCUAGAUUUGUAGAAGUAGUGUGAUGAGGCAGAUAAAGAAUGGUCUUAAGAUCC